AGGCCUAACACAUGCAAGUCGAACGGUAGCACAGAGAGCUUGCUCUCGGGUGACGAGUGGCGGACGGGUGAGUAAUGUCUGGGAAACUGCCUGAUGGAGGGGGAUAACUACUGGAAACGGUAGCUAAUACCGCAUAACGUCGCAAGACCAAAGAGGGGGACCUUCGGGCCUCUUGCCAUCAGAUGUGCCCAGAUGGGAUUAGCUAGUAGGUGGGGUAACGGCUCACCUAGGCGACGAUCCCUAGCUGGUCUGAGAGGAUGACCAGCCACACUGGAACUGAGACACGGUC
rnacentral:rRNA from 1 species